rnacentral:rRNA from 1 species
AUUGAACGCUGGCGGCAGGCCUAACACAUGCAAGUCGAGCGGAUGAAGGGAGCUUGCUCCUGGAUUCAGCGGCGGACGGGUGAGUAAUGCCUAGGAAUCUGCCUGGUAGUGGGGGAUAACGUCCGGAAACGGGCGCUAAUACCGCAUACGUCCUGAGGGAGAAAGUGGGGGAUCUUCGGACCUCACGCUAUCAGAUGAGCAUAGGUCGGAUUAGCUAGUUGGUGGGGUAAAGGCCUACCAAGGCGACGAUCCGUAACUGGUCUGAGAGGAUGAUCAGUCACACUGGAACUGAGACACGUUCCAGACUCCUACGGGAGGCAGCAGUGGGGAAUUUUGGACAAUGGGCGAAAGCCUGAUCCAGCCAUGCCGCGUGUGUGAAGAAGGUCUUCGGAUUGUAAAGCACUUUAAGUUGGGAGGAAGGGCAGUAAGUUAAUACCUUGCUGUUUUGACGUUACCAACAGAAUAAGCACCGGCAAACUUCGU